rnacentral:rRNA from 1 species
UGAGGAAUAUUGGGCAAUGCCCGCAAGGGUGACCCAGCAACGCCGCGUGGAGGAUGAAUGUCGUAAGAUUGUAAACUCCUGUUAGAGGGGAAGAAUAGUACCGGUUGGACCGGUAUAUGACUGUACCCUCAGAGAAAGCCCCGGCUAACUACGUGCCAGCAGCCGCGGUAAUACGUAGGGGGCAAGCGUUGUCCGGAUUUACUGGGUGUAAAGGGCGCGCAGGCGGGAUAAAAAGUCAGUGGUGAAAUCCUACAGCUUAACUGUAGAACUGUCUUUGAUACUUUUAUUCUUGAGUUCGGGAGAGAGAGACGGAAUUCCAGGUGUAGUGGUGAAAUACGUAGAUAUCUGGAAGAACACCAGUUGCGAAGGCGGUCUCUUGGUCCGACACUGACGCUGAGGCGCGAAAGCGUGGGGAGCAAACA